GCCCCAUCCAUCCUCCCCUCAAUACGGUGCAGUCGUCCUGUCCCCUUUGCAGAAAAGCAUCCAUAAAGAAUGAUGUUUCCACCUCAAUGCUUCACGGUUUGGAUGGUGUUCUUGAGGUUGCACUCAUCCUUCUUCUUCCUCCAAACACAGCAAGUAGAGUUUAGACCAAAAAGCUCUAUUUUCAUCUCAUCAGACCACAUGACCUUCUCCCAUUCCCCAUUUGUAUGAAUGAGUGUGUGGACAAGUGUCUUUUAUACAUGUAACAGUUCAAACCGGUGCAGUUAAUAGAAGUUACGAGUUUAAACCGGUGCAGUUAAUAAAAAGUGGAGAAAAGGAGGGCUUCCUAAAGAAAGACUAACAGGUCUGUGAGAGCUGGAAUUCUUACUGGUUGGUAGGUGAUCAAAUACUUAUGUCAUGAACAAUAAACUGCAAAAAUAUAUAUAUAUUUUUUUAAAUAUACAAUGUGAUUUUCUGGAUUUUGGUUUUAGAUUCUGUCACUUAGAGUAGAAGAGUAUACCUAUGAUAAAAAUGACAGGCUCUUACAUGGUUUGUAAGUGGGAACCUGCACAAUCCCCAGUGUAUCCAAUGCUUUUUCUCCCCACUGUAGAUAACUGAGGGGAACACUUAUUUUAAAAGUGCCAUGUUGACACUGUUUUGGAGUUUCAACACUGAGUUCAAAUGACUGCAAACAAUCCCAUAUGAUACUUCAUCUGGUGCCAACUCUCAAGCAAAACUAUAUUCUUUCCAGUUAUUAAUUUAAAAUAACUUUCAUAUUAUCUGUAAUCGAAUGUGUCCAUCCUACAAUUCCCCCUUUAAAACCCUUGCCUCACACUUGAAUUGCCAGGUAGGAGUUUAUUUUAAUAACUGAUUGUUUCUUUUAUCAACAUGACAAAAUAUUUUGUCUUUUUUAUUUAUAAUACAGAGCUUAACUGUAGAGACCUACAUUUCAGUUGGAUAAAGGAGGGUACAUAAAUUAACCAAUAUCAAAAGCGUAUGUUGGUUGAUUGUUGUGAGUUUUUCCAUCUUAUACACACACACACUCGAGACCGGCGUAUGUCCUGGUUAAGACUAUCCGGGUCCCCACAUAGUCAACCCCUCCCCCACACCUUUACCCGCGCGCGCGUCUCUCGUCUGGAGCUAAUGAUUGCAUCUCGUGACUCACUGCCACUGGACGAGCAGGUGCAAAGGAAGCAUCAAUCAACGUGUUCAUCUCCAAGGUAAGCUAAACACUUUUAUUUCAAAUGUAAUUCAUGUGCUAACUGCAUAACAAAUGCCACUACAAUAUAGUAUGGAGAAGGUUAAUAACAAAGCAGGCCUUGCUAGCAAUAAUUUUAACUUUGCAGUUUUCUGUUCCAGUCGGGUUAAGUCAGUAUCAUGUUAGGUAACGUUAGUUUGCUAACGCGCCUAUACAUGUGCAAUGUAAAUGGAAACUAUUUAGCUAACUACCACUACCAAGCUAACCAUUAGCUAGAUUGAAACUUAAUGCAUGCCAUAAAUCCUAUUUUUUUGCGUGUGUUGUAUAAUUGAAUCACAAAUGUGAUUGAUAAUCGAUAAAUUUGUGUUUUAUAUGAUAUGCACACUACAGUAGUUAGCUUGUAUGUUAGGAUGGACUACUAUGACAAUUAGCAAGUUAAAUAGAGUAUAGGAUCUGUUGUCAUUGCACUUCCGCACUACAGCGUGGUUGGGUUGUAUGGCGGGAGAAAAGCUGCCAUCAGGGGUUUUCACUCAUGGAGAGAAGACGACGACUUCGACCAAUCCAAGAUGCGGAGUACCAUAUCCAAGCGGGGAUUGAUAAGCCAUGUCUCCAGCAGCGUUUUAUCAAUAAUUUUAAAGGCCGAGGUGUUUUUGCCACUGAACUCAUAUUCAAAGGCGACUUUGUUGUGGAGUACCGAGGGAAACUACUGUCACAGCAGCAGGCAGAGCUCCAAACUAUUGAGUACAAUGAGUCUGCAAAUGUUUUUCUUUUUGAUUUUCAGUGGAAGAGUAAAACAUGGUGCAUUGAUGCAGGUGAAGAGGACUCCUCUCUUGGGAGACUUGUUAAUGACGACCACAGAAGACCUAAUUGCAAAAUGAAAACCAUAAAAGUAAAUGAGAAACCACACUUGUGACUCUUCGCGAUUCGAGAUAUUACAGCUGGAGAAGAAUUGACUUACAAUUACGGUGACUCAAACUGGGCAUGGAGAGCACAGCAGGUUAACAAGGAUGUACUACCUAGCGUGAAACCUGAGAUUGGGAGUAUAAAGUCUGCUGCUGCUAUAGUACAUGCUGAUUCAGUAGGGACUGAACUCACCACAGUCACAACUGUAGACUCACAGCCUGCUGACACAGCCCCCAAAACACACUUCACUGGCACAGACACCCUGUCCCCCUACCCCAUCACACAUAUCACUGUUGCAGGUCUCAAACUCUAGACUGAUUGAUUAGUUAUUGUGUAAGGGAAGUGAAAAGUAUAAAUAAGGACUAACAAAUUAUGUUGUUCUUGCAGAUGAUCAUUUGCAGAGUGAGCGCUCGAAGGCCAGGAUUGACAAAUUAAAAGAACACCACAAUAGGUGUGAAACUCGGUAUGAAUCUACGGCAGAGAAGCGAAACGCUCUUCAAAGACAGCGAACCUUACUCCUACUGCAAUUGGCAAACUUGGAUAAAAUGCUGGGCCCAGAAUCACAUCCAGUCACUCCACCAGCAGAAGAUUCGGUGAUACCCUCACCAACAGACACACAGGUAUGGUCAGAAAUUGACCAUGCAUCUCCUACCAGCGAAUGUGUACCGCCACUGGAAAGAACAGAGAGUGUAUUUGUAAGUAACAACAUUAAUUACUUGCCUAAGUCUGUCAAUUAGGGUUACAUAAAAUAUCUACCUUUUAAGUCACUAUUCUUGAAAGUUUGUGGUCUGAAGAUCACAUUUAACUGUGACAGGGUUUAAAAGGUAUACGACUCACCAAGAAAUAUUUUGAUUGUGUACUGCUCUGCAUACAACUGUAUAAUGUCUAAAUGUUAAACCAAUAUGUCUCCAAUGAUCUCUUUGUAAGAGACAAAACCACAGUAAGAUUAUUUAUCGAAAUGUCAUGAUGAGAAAGUGCAUUAUAAAAGAAAUUGGUCCAAGUCACGCUCGGCCAACAUGAAAUUGUAGGCUAUUAUUUUUGCUGUUGUGCUCCUGUAUAAAUUGAGGAUAGAACGAACAAGCGAUGUGUGAUGUUAUUUGAUACCUUCUGGGGACAUUGACCUGUAUUUUAACUGUCUUUAUGGGGACACCUUGUUUAAGUGGGGCUUGCAUUAUAUGCAUGAUAAUAUAAUUUGUGUAGAAUUCUCAAUACCUUUUAUAUUUGUCAUGUUUGACUGAUUACAGGUUGCCUUCCAAAACCACAUGGACACAGAUUCCAGCUCUGCAGAAGAUGUGAAUGUGUCCCACUCCAAUCCCAAGCUGGGCCCAGAAUCACAUCCAGUCACUCCACCAGCAGAAGAUUCGGUGAUACCCUCACCAACAGACACACAGGUAUGGUCAGAAAUUGACCAUGCAUCUCCUUCUACCAGCGAAUGUGUACCGCCACUGGAAAGAACAGAGAGUGUAUUUGUAAGUAACAACAUUAAUUACUUGCCUAAGUCUGUCAAUUAGGGUUACAUAAAAUAUCUACCUUUUAAGUCACUAUUCUUGAAAGUUUGUGGUCUGAAGAUCACAUUUAACUGUGACAGGGUUUAAAAGGUAUACGACUCACCAAGAAAUAUUUUGAUUGUGUACUGCUCUGCAUACAACUGUAUAAUGUCUAAAUGUUAAACCAAUAUGUCUCCAAUGAUCUCUUUGUAAGAGACAAAACCACAGUAAGAUUAUUUAUCGAAAUGUCAUGAUGAGAAAGUGCAUUAUAAAAGAAAUUGGUCCAAGUCACGCUCGGCCAACAUGAAAUUGUAGGCUAUUAUUUUUGCUGUUGUGCUCCUGUAUAAAUUGAGGAUAGAACGAACAAGCGAUGUGUGAUGUUAUUUGAUACCUUCUGGGGACAUUGACCUGUAUUUUAACUGUCUUUAUGGGGACACCUUGUUUAAGUGGGGCUUGCAUUAUAUGCAUGAUAAUAUAAUUUGUGUAGAAUUCUCAAUACCUUUUAUAUUUGUCAUGUUUGACUGAUUACAGGUUGCCUUCCAAAACCACAUGGACACAGAUUCCAGCUCUGCAGAAGAUGUGAAUGUGUCCCACUCCAAUCCCAAGCUGGGCCCAGAAUCACAUCCAGUCACUCCACCAGCAGAAGAUUCGGUGAUACCCUCACCAACAGACACACAGGUAAUAAGACAGGUUUUUUUAUAUAUAACCA